AGGAUAAUCUCCUUUAUAAAGCCAACUGAGGAGUUGACCAUUAAAAAGCUCCCCUAGGCUGUCUUUUGCUGCCUUGCUAGCAUUCAGCCUAUUGGGAACAUUC
rnacentral:snoRNA from 1 species